rnacentral:rRNA from 1 species
ACUCAAAUGAAUUGACGGGGAAGAGCACAACCAGGGGAGCAUGUGGUUCAAUUCGAUACUAAGCGAAGGACCUUACCCAGAUUUGACAUACUAUCGUACAUUUCCAAAGAAACUUGGAGAAAUUCAACGUAAGAAGAAUGGUAGUACAGGUGUUGCAUGGCUGUCGUCAGCUCGUGCCGUGGGGUGUCCCAUUAAGUUGGGGAACGAGCGCAACCCUCAUCCUAUGUUCAAUAGUCAUAGGAAACUGCCCCGGUUCAACCGGGGAGGAAGGAGAGGACGACGUCAAGUCAGCAUGAUCCUUAUAUCUGGGGCCACACACAUCCUACAAUGGGAAGGAACAAUGGGUUGCCAAGCCGCAAGGCGGAGCUAAUCCCAACAAAACUUCCCUCAGUUCAGAUUGCGGGCUGCAACUCGCCCGCAUGAAGUCGGACUUGGUAGUAAUCGCAAAUCAGCAGGUUGCGGUGAAUACGUUCUCUCUUCUUGUACACACCGCCCGU